rnacentral:rRNA from 1 species
UACGGAGGGGGCUAGCGUUGUUCGGAAUUACUGGGCGUAAAGCGCACGUAGGCGGACUGUUAAGUCGGGGGGUGAAAUCCUGGGGCUCAACCUCAGAAUUGCCUCCGAUACUGGCAGUCUCGAGUGCGGGAGAGGUGAGUGGAAUUCCCAGUGUAGAGGUGAAAUUCGUAGAUAUUGGGAAGAACACCAGUGGCGAAAGGCGACUUCCUGGACCAAUACUGACGCUCAUGUGCGAAAGCG